UCUUCCAUCGCCGUUUCUUUUUCUUCCCCUCCCGCAACUGAUUGCCUUCCCCAGCCGCGCCGCCCCUCUCCCGAUUUCCCUCCUCGCGAUUAUCUUCUUCUUCUUCCCCAACUCAUCGCUAAUGCUGAUCGCCGACGCUGAUCGCUGACGCGGAUCGCCGGCGCUAAUGUUGGCUAGCAACGUGCCCUAGCGUCGACCCCCUCCCUUGUGCCCUAGCCGCCAGCCACCCUAUCGCCGGGCAACGACGCCGAAGCUUCAUCCUCUCCCUCUCACGGCGAGGAGUGCCCUCUCCUCUCCGAUCUUCGACCACCACUACCCCUCCCGAUCUUCGACCCCACUGCCCAAAGACGGCUGCUGGAUGCCCGAACGCCACCGAUCUUCUCUCUCUGGGUCACGACAGAAGCAGAGCAUCCGAGCCCAUCUUUGUUUCAUGCCCUAGUUCUACACCACCGCGCGCACCCUCCCUGUCGCCUCUCGACCCGAGUAGCACCAUUUCUACUUGUGCCCUAGCCUUCCCUCCAGCCGGCCGUCGCAGAAUUUUGGAGGGAUUGGGAGGGUGUCACCGGCCACCACCACCUGUUUUUCUUCUCCAGCGAGUCUUCUACCCUAAGAUCUAGUGUCGGACCUCUUCCUCUGUUUCGGCUAGAAUCUUCCUGCCCACCUUGUACUGGCCAAACGAGAUUGUUCCGGCCAGAAGAAAAGGGUCGAUUGGGGGGUAAAUUGUUUUGGAAAUCCACAGCUCCAACCUUGCUCCAGCCAGGUCUACUGGUAGCAAGUUGUCACCGGCUGUGGAUCACCGGCAGAUCAUCCGGAUUUGGGACUUUGAUUCGAGACGGUGUCUCGACGAGGGAUCUAUUUCGGAUACGAUCCUCUUAUUGGAGGCAGGACAGAAUCAAUUAUCACUAGAAAUAUCAAGAAAGAGAGACAUGGGACCAGGAAAACUGCAUGUUUAACCGCUCCACCUGCAGCAGAGUACAAUAUUAACUAGAAAAUUAUGCCCCGACAUAGUUGAUUUUAAGAUUAAUUUUCACCGGUACAAAAUUCCUUUAGUGUCAUAUAAAAAUCAUCGUACUAAGAUGAAAUAUCAAAAUGUCUCAAGUGUCUGCUUCCAUUAAAAAAAUCAUAUUAACGAGUUCGGUGUAGAAAA